GAUGAACGCUGGCUACAGGCUUAACACAUGCAAGUCGAGGGGAAACGCCGGGGAAGCUUGCCUCUCCGGGUGUCGACCGGCGCACGGGUGAGUAACGCGUAACCAACCUGCCUCUGACUGAGGGAUAACCCGUCGCAAGUCGGCCUAAUACCUCAUGGUAUAGUCUGCGGGCAUCCAACGACGAUUAAAGAUUUCAUCGGCCAGGGAUGAGGUUGCGUCUGAUUAGCUUGUUGGCGGGGUAACGGCCUACCAAGGCUACGAGCAGUAGGGGUACUGAGAGGCAGCACCCCCACAUUGGAACUGGGACACGGUCCAAACGCCAAGGAGCGCAGGAGUGAGUAACAUUGGGCAAGGGACCAUAGCCUGAAACAGCCAAGUAGCUUGCGAGAAGACGGGGCUAGGAGAUGUAUGCUGCUUUUGUGCAAGGUUAGAGUGAGUGACUGUGCCCUCAUUGCAGGUACCGAAUGAAUAAGGACCGGCUAACUCCGUG
rnacentral:rRNA from 1 species